rnacentral:rRNA from 1 species
UACGUAGGUGGCAAGCGUUGUCCGGAUUUAUUGGGCGUAAAGCGAGCGCAGGUGGUUUCUUAAGUCUGAUGUGAAAGCCCACGGCUCAACCGUGGAAGGUCAUUGGAAACUGGGGAACUUGAAUGCAGAAGAGAAGAGUGGAAUUCCAUGUGUAGCGGUGAAAUGCGUAGAUAUAUGGAGGAACACCAGUGGCGAAGGCGACUCUCUGGUCUGUUAUUGACACUGAGGCUCGAAAGCGUGGGGAGCAAACAGGAUUAGA